AGCGAACGCUGGCGGCAGGCCUAACACAUGCAAGUCGAACGGAUCCUUCGGGAUUAGUGGCGGACGGGUGAGUAACACGUGGGAACGUGCCUUUUGGUUCGGAACAACUCAGGGAAACUUGAGCUAAUACCGAAUGUGCCCUUCGGGGAAGAUUAUCGCCAUUAGAGCGGCCCGCGUCUGAUUAGCUUGUUGGUGAGGUAAAGG
rnacentral:rRNA from 1 species